GAUGAACGCUGGCUACAGGCUAACACCUGCAAGUCGAGGGGAAACGACGGGGAAGCUUGCUUCCCCGGGCGUCGACCGGCGCACGGGUGAGUAACGCGUAUCCAACCUGCCUCUGACUGAGGGAUAACCCGUCGAAAGUCGGCCUAAUACCUCAUGGCAUCGUCUGCGGGCAUCCAACGACGAUUAAAGAUUUCAUCGGUCAGAGAUGGGGAUGCGUCUGAUUAGCUUGUUGGCGGGGUAACGGCCCACCAAGGCGACGAUCAGUAGGGGUUCUGAGAGGAAGGUCCCCCACAUUGGAACUGAGACACGGUCCAAACUCCUACGGGAGGCAGCAGUGAGGAAUAUUGGUCAAUGGGCGAGAGCCUGAACCAGCCAAGUAGCGUGCAGGAUGACGGCCCUAUGGGUUGUAAACUGCUUUUAUGCGGGGAUAAAGUGAGGGACGUGUCCUUCAUUGCAGGUACCGCAUGAAUAAGGACCGGCUAAUUCCGUG
rnacentral:rRNA from 1 species